GACGAACGCUGGCGGCGUGCUUAACACAUGCAAGUCGAACGGAAAGGCCCUGCUUUUGUGGGGUGCUCGAGUGGCGAACGGGUGUGUAACACGUGAGUAACCCGCCCUUGUCUUUGGGAUAUCUUCAGGAAACUGGGGCUAAUACCGGAUAGGAGCUCCUGCUCCAUGGUGGGCGAUGGAAAGUUUCGGCGGUUGGGGAUGGACUCGCUGGUUAUCCGCUUGUUGGUCGGGUAGUUGCUUACAAAGGCUUUGACGGGUAGCCGGCCUGAGAGGGUGACCGGCGACAUUGGGACUGAGAUACGGCCCAGAAUCCUACGGGAGGCAGCAGUGGGAAGUAUUGCACAGUGGGCGGAAGCCAGAUGCAGCAACGCCGCGUGCGGGAUGACGGCCUUCGGGUUGUAAACCGCUUUCGCCUGUGACGAGGCGUGAGUGACGGUAAUGGGUAAAGAAGCACCGGCUAACUACGUG
rnacentral:rRNA from 1 species